UGUGCAUAGCUGUACUGAAUCGGAACAGCAAUGGCACAAGCCGCGAACAAUGGGUGUGAAGCCAGGGCCCAUCAACUCCAUGGUCUUCACCAAGCCUGUACCAAAUAGGAUGGUGCAGACUGGAGUAAGGAGUGGAUUCUACAGAGGCAUGGUGGGGCCAUUACCAGAUCCCUGCCUGUUCAGAGUUACGGAGGCAUACUCAGCAUUCAGCAUUGAAGACAGACCGCUUGU